rnacentral:rRNA from 1 species
CCUACGGGAGGCUGCAGUGGGGAAUAUUGCGCAAUGGGCGAAAGCCUGACGCAGCGACGCCGCGUGAGGGAUGAAGGUCUUCGGAUCGUAAACCUCUGUCAGCAGGGAAGAACGGUCACUGUGCUAAUCAGCAGUGAAUUGACGGUACCUGCAAAGGAAGCACCGGCUAACUCCGUGCCAGCAGCCGCGGUAAUACGGCGGGUGCGAGCGUUAAUCGGAAUUAAUGGGCGUAAAGCGCACGUAUGCGGUAUGUCAAGUCAAGGGUGAAAUCCCCACGCUCAACGUGGGAAUUGCCUUUGAAACUGGCAAACUGGAGUGUGUGAGAGGAUAGUGGAAUUCCAGGUGUAGGAGUGAAAUCCGUAGAUAUCUGGAGGAACAUCAGUGGCGAAGGCGACUAUCUGGCACAUAACUGACGCUGAGGAGCGAAAGCGUGGGUAGCAAACAGGAUUAGAUACCCCUGUAGUC